rnacentral:rRNA from 1 species
CGCGUAGGCGGCGGGUCAAGUCGAGUGUGAAAGCCCCGGGCUCAACCUGGGAGGUGCGCUCGAGACUGGUCUGCUUGAGUUCGGGAGAGGAGCGUGGAAUUCCCAGUGUAGAGGUGAAAUUCGUAGAUAUUGGGAAGAACACCGGUGGCGAAGGCGGCGCUCUGGACCGAGACUGACGCUGAGGUGCGAAAGCGUGGGUAGCGAACA